GAUGAAGAACGCAGCGAAAUGCGAUAAGUAAUGUGAAUUGCAGAAUUCAGUGAAUCAUCGAAUCUUUGAACGCACAUUGCGCCCGCGAGUAUUCUCGCGGGCAUGCCUGUCCGAGCGUCAUUUCAACCCUCAGGGCCCGCCUGCUUGCAGGCGCGGCGCUGGUGUUGGGGAUCGGCUACCCUGCCGUCCCCCAAAUACAGUGGCGGUCUCGCUGCAGCCUCCCCUGCGUAGUAGCAACACUCGCAUGCGGAGCGCGGCGCGGCCACGCCGUAAAACCCCCGACUUUCUGAACGUUGACCUCGGAUCAGGUAGGAAUACCCGCUGAACUUAAGCAUAUCAAUAAGCGGAGGA
rnacentral:misc_RNA from 1 species